CGGUUAGGAGGGGACCCUGCAAAGGACAAGAGGGAAAGCCAUUUGCCAAACUGGAAGCCGCUGAGAAGUUUUAGCUCUGCUUAGGCUGGGACCACGCCUGUCUCACUCCCCCACAGGAGCCCCAGCGAUUCUAACAGGGGCACGUUGCCAUCACUGUCCGGAGAGCUUAGGUGACUUCCUCAAGGUUGCUCAGAAAGUGAAGGGAGGUUGAGAGUCGAACCCGAGUCUGGUGACUCCAAAGUCCUUGCUUACUACAUGUGAGUAACACAAAGCUCUGGGAAUCGAAGACUACACAACCAAGAUGUUACAGAAAAUCAUCUCUCAAGUGGCAGGGAAGGGAAAACAACAGCCUGGAUUUUUCAGAAGCCUCAGCAACUUCAGCAUUUCCUGAGAUCAUCCUGUUGUAGAUGAAAAAGGAGAAGCCCCCCGGUGCUGGUUAGCACGAGGUGAAUAAAGCGAGGCUUGGAAAGGGGAAGGCAAAUGGCCAUGGUCCGGAGAAUGGAGUGGAACCCAGCGCUGCAGGGAGAAAGGAGCCAUGCCAUGUAUUAGAUCGUCUCACCUUUGGUCUUCAGACAGAACUGACGGUCAGGCUGGAAGCCCACCAGCACACAGGGAGAUCCUGUCUGGGAGCACAGCGCUCUACAGCUGACCAACUCUCCUACAGUCACGUUCUCACAUGUUCUCACAGCUGUCAGCAAUGCAGGACAUACUGUCCUCUUCUGAUCAAGAGGAAACUGAGCCUCAGAGAGGAAAAGAGAACUGCCCAAUCUCAGAGCUAGUAAGGCCAGAAAAGAGGGGAGAACCCAGAAGUCUCCCCACUUCCUGCUACGUCCAAAGAGGAUUCUGAACAUCGGAUUUCUUCCAUGACAAUCCCGUGUUAGAGCAGAUGUUCUCCAAAAAAUAAAAAGGAGGAUCAUGGGGUGGGUAAACCUUUAACAUUGCUCCUGCUAGAAUAAAAGAGAGGAAUACGAGGGUCUGAUUAGAACAGCUGAAAAGCUGUGAACAAAGAUUAAACAAACACCUGUAUACAGACAUCAAAUCAUUAUGUUGUAAACCUGAAACCAAUAUAAUGUUACAUGUUAACUAUAUCUCAAUAAACAAAACAUUAGACUUUUGCGUUCAGGAGACUUUCCCUUAAGUCUAACAACACUGACCAAUCCUUCGGACACACUGUGGGCACACAAGCAUCUCAGCCUGCUGGAGAAAAUAUAGUUAUUAUGUGUGGGUUUCCAAGGAGACAGGUAAGAAACAGUCCCCUUCACUUCUUUGGUGGGCUAGGGGCAGGAGAGGGGCCAGACCAGGGGUCUGAAACGUACUCG